CACCCCCUCCAUGGGCUCCUGUGCAGCCCGAGUCUCCUCGACGAGGGCCACCCCCUGCUCCACGGCACCCAGUCCCAUCGACCACCCAAGGGCUGAGGAGUGCGGGCGCACGCAGGGGACUGGCAGGCAGCUCCACCUGCAGCCCCGGUGCGGGAUUCACCGGGUGAAGCCAGCUGGGCUCCUGAAUCUGGUGGGGCUUUGGAGAACCUUUACAAUCCCUGAGCUAGACAUAAAUACACCAAUCGGCACUCUGUAUCUAGCUCAAGGUUUGUAAACACACCAGUCAGCACCCUGUGUCUAGCUCAGGGUUUGUGAGUGCACCAAUUGACACUCUGUAUCUAGCUGCUCUGGUGGGGCCGUGAAGAACCUUUAUGUCUAGCUCAGGGAUUGUAAAUACACCAAUCGGCACUCUGUAUCUAGCUCAAGGUUUGUAAACACACCAAUCAGCACCCUGUGUCUAGCUCAGGGUUUGUGAGUGCACCAAUGGACACUCUGUAUCUAUCUGCUCUGGUGGGGCCUUGGAGAACCUUUGUGUGGAUACUCUGUAUCUAAUCUGAUGGGGACGUGGAGAACCUUUGUAUCCAGCUCAGGGAUUGUAAACGCACCAAUCAGCGCCCUGUCAAAACAGACCACUGGGCUCUACCAAUCAGCAGGACGUGGGUGGGGCCAGAUAAGAGAAUGAAACCAGGCUGCCCCAGCCAGCAGUGGCAACCCGCUUGGGUCCCCUUCCACACUGUGGAAGCUUUGUUCUUUUGCUCUUUGCAAUAAAUCUUGCUACUGCUCACUCUUUGGGUCCAUGCUGCUUUUAUGAGCUGUAACACUCACCACGAAGGCCUGCAGCUUCACUCCUGAAGCCAGCGAGACCACGAGCCCGCCGGGAGGAACGAACAACUCCAGAUGUGCCGCCUUAAGAGCUGUAACACUCACCGCAAAGGUCUGCAGCUUCACUCCUGAGCCAGCGAGACCACGAACCCACCAGAAGGAAGAAACUCCGAACACAUCCGAACAUCAGAAGGAACAAACUCCAGACGCACCACCUUAAGAGCUGUAACACUCACCGCAAGGGUCCGCAGUUUCAUUCUUGAAGUCAGUGAGACCAAGAACCCACCAAUUCCGGACACAUUUUGGCGACCCAGAUGGGACUUUCGCCUAUCACCAAGCGGUGAGACCAUCACCUAUAGCUGAGCGGUGAGACCAUCACCUAUAGCUGAGCGGCGAGACCAUCACCUAUCACCAAGCAGUAUGUUCAACUAUUGAGGGCCAGGAAAUUGACUUCCUCCUGGACACUGGCGCCGCCUUCUCAGUGUUAAUCUCCUGUCCUGGACGACUGUCCUCAAGGUCCGUUACCAUCCGAGGAAUCCUGGGACAGCCUGUAACCAGGUAUUUCUCCCACCUCCUCAGUUGUAAUUGGGAGACUUGGCUCUUUUCACAUGCCUUUCUUGUUAUGCCUGAAAGUCCCACACCCUUAUUAGGGAGGGAUAUAUUAGCCAAGGCUGGAGCUAUUAUCUACAUGAAUAUGGGGAACAAGUUACCCAUUUGUUGUCCCCUACAUGAGGAGGGAAUCAACCCUGAAGUCUGGGAAUUAGAAGGACAGUUUGGAAGGGCAAAAAAAUGCCUGCCCAGUCCAAAUCAAGUUAAAAGAUCCCACCACUUUUCCUUAUCAAAGGCAAUAUCCCUUAAGGCCUGAAGUUCAUAAAGGAUUACAGAAUAUUGUUAAACAUUUGAAAGCUCCAGGCUUAGUAAGGAAAUGCAGCAGUCACUGCAACACCCCAAUUCUAGGAGUACAAAAACCGAACGGUCAGUGGAGACUAGUGCAAGAUCUUAGACUCAUUAAUGAGGCAGUAGUUCCACUAUAUCCAGUUGUACCCAACCCCUAUACCCUGCUCUCUCAAACACCAGAGGAAGCAGAAUGGUUCAUGGUUCUGGACCUCAAGGAUGCCUUCUUCUGUAUUCCCCUGCACUCUGACUCCCAGUUCCUCUUUGCUUUUGAGGAUCCCACAGACCACACGUCCCAAAUUACGUGGAUGGUCUUGCCCCAAGGGUUUAGGGAUAGCCC
rnacentral:lncRNA from 1 species